UACGUAGGGGGCAAGCGUUGUCCGGAUUUAUUGGGCGUAAAGAGCGUGUAGGCGGCCAUACAGGUCAGCUGUGAAAACUCGAGGCUCAACCUCGAGACGUCGGUUGAAACCGUAUGGCUAGAGUCCGGAAGAGGAGAGUGGAAUUCCCGGUGUAGCGGUGAAAUGCGCAGAUAUCGGGAAGAACACCCGUGGCGAAGGCGGCUCUCUGGGACGGUACUGACGCUGAGGUGCGAAAGCGUGGGGAGCGAACAGG
rnacentral:rRNA from 1 species